ensembl:rRNA 5S_rRNA 5S ribosomal RNA
GUCUAUGGCCAUACCACCCUGAACGCACCUGAUCUUGUCUGAUCUCAGAAGCUAAGCAGGGUCGGGCCUAGUUAGUACUUGGAUGAGAGACUGCCUGGGAAUACUGGGUGCUGUAGGCC